AUUGAUAUAGAAGUGCUGACAUUGA
rnacentral:piRNA from 1 species